GGACCCGCACAAGCAGUGGAGCAUGUGGUUUAAUUCGACGCAACGCGAAGAACCUUACCAGCGUUUGACAUGGGAAGUACCGGUUACAGAAUGGUAACCUUCAGUUCGGCUGGCUUCCGCACAGGUGCUGCAUGGCUGUCGUCAGCUCGUGUCGUGAGAUGUUGGUUAAGUCCCGCAACGAGCGCAACCCUUAUCGUUAGUUACUAACAGUUCGGCUGAGGACUCUAGCGAAACUGCCGGUGAUAAGCCGGAGGAAGGUGGGGAUGACGUCAAGUCCUCAUGGCCCUUACACGCUGGGCUACACACGUGCUACAAUGGUAACUACAACGGGACGCAAUACCGCGAGGUGGAGCAAA
rnacentral:rRNA from 1 species